rnacentral:rRNA from 1 species
GACGAACGCUGGCGGCGUGCUUAACACAUGCAAGUCGAACGGAAAGGCCCUGCUUGCAGGGUACUCGAGUGGCGAACGGGUGAGUAACACGUGGGUGAUUUGCCCUGCACUUCGGGAUAAGCCUGGGAAACUGGGUCUAAUACCGGAUAGGAGCCAUUUUUAGUGUGAUGGUUGGAAAGUUUUUUCGGUGUAGGAUGAGCUCGCGGCCUAUCAGCUUGUUGGUGGGGUAAUGGCCUACCAAGGCGGCGACGGGUAGCCGGCCUGAGAGGGUGGACGGCCACAUUGGGACUGAGAUACGGCCCAGACUCCUACGGGAGGCAGCAGUGGGGAAUAUUGCACAAUGGGCGCAAGCCUGAUGCAGCGACGCCGCGUGGGGGAUGACGGCCUUCGGGUUGUAAACUCCUUUCGCUAGGGACGAAGCUUUUUGUGACGGUACCUAGAUAAGAAGCACCGGCUAACUACGUG